UGAACGCUAGCUACAGGCUUAACACAUGCAAGUCGAGGGGCAGCAUGGUCUUAGCUUGCUAAGGCCGAUGGCGACCGGCGCACGGGUGAGUAACACGUAUCCAACCUGCCGUCUACUCUUGGACAGCCUUCUGAAAGGAAGAUUAAUACAAGAUGGCAUCAUGAGUCCGCAUGUUCACAUGAUUAAAGGUAUUCCGGUAGACGAUGGGGAUGCGUUCCAUUAGAUAGUAGGCGGGGUAACGGCCCACCUAGUCUUCGAUGGAUAGGGGUUCUGAGAGGAAGGUCCCCCACAUUGGAACUGAGACACGGUCCAAACUCCUACGGGAGGCAGCAGUGAGGAAUAUUGGUCAAUGGGCGAGAGCCUGAACCAGCCAAGUAGCGUGAAGGAUGACUGCCCUAUGGGUUGUAAACUUCUUUUAUAAAGGAAUAAAGUCGGGUAUGGAUACCCGUUUGCAUGUACUUUAUGAAUAAGGAUCGGCUAACUCCGUGCCAGCAGCCGCGGUAAUACGGAGGAUCCGAGCGUUAUCCGGAUUUAUUGGGUUUAAAGGGAGCGUAGAUGGAUGUUUAAGUCAGUUGUGAAAGUUUGCGGCUCAACCGUAAAAUUGCAGUUGAUACUGGAUAUCUUGAGUGCAGUUGAGGCAGGCGGAAUUCGUGGUGUAGCGGUGAAAUGCUUAGAUAUCACGAAGAACUCCGAUUGCGAAGGCAGCCUGCUAAGCUGCAACUGACAUUGAGGCUCGAAAGUGUGGGUAUCAAACAGGAUUAGAUACCCUGGUAGUCCACACGGUAAACGAUGAAUACUCGCUGUUUGCGAUAUACAGCAAGCGGCCAAGCGAAAGCGUUAAGUAUUCCACCUGGGGAGUACGCCGGCAACGGUGAAACUCAAAGGAAUUGACGGGGGCCCGCACAAGCGGAGGAACAUGUGGUUUAAUUCGAUGAUACGCGAGGAACCUUACCCGGGCUUAAAUUGCAGAUGAAUUACGGUGAAAGCCGUAAGCCGCAAGGCAUCUGUGAAGGUGCUGCAUGGUUGUCGUCAGCUCGUGCCGUGAGGUGUCGGCUUAAGUGCCGUAACGAGCGCAACCCUUGUUGUCAGUUACUAACAGGUUCCGCUGAGGACUCUGACAAGACUGCCAUCGUAAGAUGUGAGGAAGGUGGGGAUGACGUCAAAUCAGCACGGCCCUUACGUCCGGGGCUACACACGUGUUACAAUGGGGGGUACAGAGGGCCGCUACCACGCGAGUGGAUGCCAAUCCCCAAAACCUCUCUCAGUUCGGACUGGAGUCUGCAACCCGACUCCACGAAGCUGGAUUCGCUAGUAAUCGCGCAUCAGCCACGGCGCGGUGAAUACGUUCCCGGGCCUUGUACACACCGCCCGUCAAGCCAUGGGAGCCGGGGGUACCUGAAGUGCGUAACCGCGAGGAGCGCCCUAGGGUAAAACUGGUGACUGGGGCUAAGUCGUAACAAGGUAGCCG
rnacentral:rRNA from 1 species